rnacentral:rRNA from 1 species
UACGUAGGGUGCAAGCGUUGUCCGGAAUUAUUGGGCGUAAAGGGCUCGUAGGCGGUCCGUCACGUCGGCUGUGAAAACCCGGGGCUCAACCCCGGGCCUGCAGUCGAUACGGGCGGACUAGAGUUCGGCAGGGGAGACUGGAAUUCCUGGUGUAGCGGUGAAAUGCGCAGAUAUCAGGAGGAACACCGGUGGCGAAGGCGGGUCUCUGGGCCGAUACUGACGCUGAGGUGCGAAAGCGUGGGGAGCAAACAGG